rnacentral:rRNA from 1 species
CCUACGGGUGGCAGCAGUGAGGAAUAUUGGUCAAUGGACGAGAGUCUGAACCAGCCACGUAGCGUGAAGGAUGACUGCCCUAUGGGUUGUAAACUUCUUUUAUAUGGGAAUAAAAUGUUCCACGUGUGGGAUUUUGUAUGUACCAUAUGAAUAAGGAUCGGCUAACUCCGUGCCAGCAGCCGCGGUAAUACGGAGGAUCCGAGCGUUAUCCGGAUUUAUUGGGUUUAAAGGGAGCGUAGGUGGAUUGUUAAGUCAGUUGUGAAAGUUUGCGGCUCAACCGUAAAAUUGCAGUUGAAACUGGCAGUCUUGAGUACAGUAGAGGUGGGCGGAAGUCGUGGUGUAGCGGUGAAAUGCUUAGAUAUCACGAAGAACUCCGAUUGCGAAGGCAGUUCACUGGACUGCAACUGACACUGAGGCUCGAAAGUGUGGGUAUCAAACAGGAUUAGAUACCCUUGUAGUC